GGAAUCUUCCAUAAUGGACGAAAGUCUGAUGGAGCAACGCCGCGUGAGUGAAGAAGGGUUUCGGCUCGUAAAACUCUGUUGUUAAAGAAGAACAUAUCUGAGAGUAACUGUUCAGGUAUUGACGGUAUUUAACCAGAAAGCCACGGCUAACUACGUGCCAG
rnacentral:rRNA from 1 species